rnacentral:tmRNA from 2 species
GGGGCUGCCCUGGUUUCGACGUGGGUUCGGAAUCGGCGUGGUGCAUGUCGAGCUUGAUUGGCGCUCGUAAAUCUGCAUUCAAAAAACUAACUGCAAACGACGAACGUUUCGCACUCGCCGCCUAAAACCGGUGAGCCUUGCAACAGCACGCUGAUGGGCUGGGCAAGGGGGCUGUAAAGCCUCCCGGCUGCAAGGUUAUUUACGUCAGCUGGUUCCAGGCCGGGUACCUUGGCAUGGAACGAGAUUCAAGGGUACUGGCGUUCAACAUAGCGUGCGACUGCGCGAUGUUGAAGGCGAGACUCAAAUCAGACCGCUAAACAUGUAGAUCUGCCCGAAGAAGGCUUGCGGACGCGGGUUCAAUUCCCGCCAGCUCCACCA